AGACGGGGACCCGCACAAGCGGUGGAUGAUGUGGAUUAAUUCGAUGCAACGCGAAGAACCUUACCUACCCUUGACAUGUCCGGAACUUGCCAGAGAUGGCUUGGUGCCCGAAAGGGAAUCGGAACACAGGUGCUGCAUGGCUGUCGUCAGCUCGUGUCGUGAGAUGUUGGGUUAAGUCCCGCAACGAGCGCAACCCUUAUCAUUAGUUGCUACGCAAGGGCACUCUAAUGAGACUGCCGGUGACAAACCGGAGGAAGGUGGGGAUGACGUCAAGUCCUCAUGGCCCUUAUGGGUAGGGCUUCACACGUCAUACAAUGGUCGGUACAGAGGGUUGCCAAGCCGCGAGGCGGAGCCAAUCCCAGAAAGCCGAUCGUAGUCCGGAUUGUUCUCUGCAACUCGAGAGCAUGAAGUCGGAAUCGCUAGUAAUCGCGGAUCAGCAUGUCGCGGUGAAUACGUUCCCGGGCCUU
rnacentral:rRNA from 1 species